CCUGGCUCAGUAUGAACGCUAGCGACAGGCUUAACACAUGCAAGUCGAGGGGCAGCGGGGGUAGCGAUACCCGCCGGCGACCGGCGCACGGGUGAGUAACGCGUAUGCAACUUGCCUAUCAGAGGGGGAUAACCCGGCGAAAGUCGGACUAAUACCGCAUGAAGCAGGGAUCCCGCAUGGGAAUAUUUGCUAAAGAUUCAUCGCUGAUAGAUAGGCAUGCGUUCCAUUAGGCAGUUGGCGGGGUAACGGCCCACCAAACCGACGAUGGAUAGGGGUUCUGAGAGGAAGGUCCCCCACAUUGGUACUGAGACACGGACCAAACUCCUACGGGAGGCAGCAGUGAGGAAUAUUGGUCAAUGGCCGAGAGGCUGAACCAGCCAAGUCGCGUGAGGGAUGAAGGUUCUAUGGAUCGUAAACCUCUUUUAUAAGGGAAUAAAGUGCGGGACGUGUCCCGUUUUGUAUGUACCUUAUGAAUAAGGAUCGGCUAACUCCGUGCCAGCAGCCGCGGUAAUACGGAGGAUCCGAGCGUUAUCCGGAUUUAUUGGGUUUAAAGGGUGCGUAGGCGGCCUUUUAAGUCAGCGGUGAAAGUCUGUGGCUCAACCAUAGAAUUGCCGUUGAAACUGGGGGGCUUGAGUAUGUUUGAGGCAGGCGGAAUGCGUGGUGUAGCGGUGAAAUGCAUAGAUAUCACGCAGAACCCCGAUUGCGAAGGCAGCCUGCCAAGCCAUGACUGACGCUGAUGCACGAAAGCGUGGGGAUCAAACAGGAUUAGAUACCCUGGUAGUCCACGCAGUAAACGAUGAUCACUAGCUGUUUGCGAUACACUGUAAGCGGCACAGCGAAAGCGUUAAGUGAUCCACCUGGGGAGUACGCCGGCAACGGUGAAACUCAAAGGAAUUGACGGGGGCCCGCACAAGCGGAGGAACAUGUGGUUUAAUUCGAUGAUACGCGAGGAACCUUACCCGGGUUUGAACGCAUUCGGACCGAGGUGGAAACACCUUUUCUAGCAAUAGCCGUUUGCGAGGUGCUGCAUGGUUGUCGUCAGCUCGUGCCGUGAGGUGUCGGCUUAAGUGCCAUAACGAGCGCAACCCUUGCCACUAGUUACUAACAGGUGAUGCUGAGGACUCUGGUGGGACUGCCAGCGUAAGCUGCGAGGAAGGCGGGGAUGACGUCAAAUCAGCACGGCCCUUACAUCCGGGGCGACACACGUGUUACAAUGGCGUGGACAAAGGGAGGCCACCUGGCGACAGGGAGCGAAUCCCCAAACCACGUCUCAGUUCGGAUCGGAGUCUGCAACCCGACUCCGUGAAGCUGGAUUCGCUAGUAAUCGCGCAUCAGCCAUGGCGCGGUGAAUACGUUCCCGGGCCUUGUACACACCG
rnacentral:rRNA from 1 species